rnacentral:lncRNA from 1 species
GAGGGUCCUGACUUGCAGUACAUUGGCGACCAGAAGACACCCAAAGGGAGAGGCGCUGAAGACCUUCCGGCAUGGGCUGGGCAGCAGUUCAGUUGCAGGAGAAACAGCCCGAGUGUGGAGAGGUGGCCGUCCUCUGCAGGAUGCUUUGUAAAGAACCCAAGAAAUCAACGUAGAGCUUCUUCUAUCUGAUUCUCUCACAGCUGUAAACCUUCCACGAGUUAAGCUUUGUGUCAAAAUGACAAAUUAAAAGGCAAGAAAAUAAAAUUGCAAUACCAGGACUUUGGGGGGUGGGGAACACAUCUGAUAACAGAUUAUUUCAGGAAACCCCACAUUUUGCCCAAUUCUCUGUCUAUUGUGUCUCUGUCCAAUGUACUCUUUGCUGAGGACAAUGUUCAAAAGUUGUUCCUGUACUCAGUGUGGUAUGAAACUAGAAAAAUACAUUUCAGGGAAAACAAUAUAAUUAUUGUGAAGGGAAAUAGGUUUUCAAGGUUUAUUCUUCAAUUAUGAAAAGGUUUUCUAAAGUAAAACAUACUAUUCCUCUCCACGAUCCCAGUUAAUCCAGACCCUCAUCACUGGGGUUUAUAAAAUACCAUACUCGCCUUCCUGAACCUUUUGCUGAAUCUCAUAUAAAGUUCUGUCACAGAACCUCAGGUUUUUCAUGAGGCCUUGUGUACCAUGCCAUGCCUGUGACUUGCUGUCUUUGCUUUGCUUUCAUUAUUACUUUUAUUUUAAAGACGUAGCCAGCAAGUAUCUUUCUUUGCUUUAGAGAUGUAAACUGCUUUGCAUUUUCAGAUUAACUUUCCAGGAUGUUGAAAAUGCUUUGCUCACUCUUCUUUUCUCGAUUCCUCCCUCUCAGGACCUAUAAAAGGCACCCCCCAGCCCAAUGGACAGAUGCCCCAGGCUGCACAUUCUGUCAGUGCUGUUCUCCAAGAGGCCCAGACACAUGCUGAAACAUGGAAGGAAACAAGCCAGCCCUCUGGAACCACCACGAGCCUGGAGCACCCAAGGCCCCACAUGCCCCCAAAUCCAGCCUGCCCCCUCCCCAUCCGGUGCGGUGGUCCUCAGACACCAGUGGCAGCCCUGCCACACCCCCCAAAGCCAAGAGCACCAGCAGCAGGGGCUUCCUCACUCCAUCCAAUGACUUCCUGCCACCGCCCCGACUCCUCCAGGCCACCACCUGGGGUCACCAAGACACCUUGUAUGUCCCCUCAAGAGGCACGAAGCAUCAAUGUUCAGAAGCAGCAAAUGAAUAAAAGUUAAACGUUCUUCCUGAACAUGGUAUUUCUAGAAAGAUUAUUGGGUCACUCUAUCUUGAGGUAACAAUAUCAUUAAAAAUAGCUUUCCCCAUCCCAUGCCUUCUGAAGUCUUGGUGACCUUAGAAAGAUUUUCCAUCUCUAUCUCUGUGACCUUCAGAUUUCCCAGAAAAUUGAGAGGAAAACGAGAAAACAUGACAAGCAGAGGCUGUUCCCUUUCUCUGAGAUCCUUUUGCUUGAUCGAUUGGAGUCCUGGACAUGGGCUGUUUUGGUUUUGUUUUUUUAACGCUUGAAUAGUAAUUGAAAAAAAUUAUUUAGUUUUUGAAUUCUGUAUGAUUACAAUGCUAUAAAUAUCCUUUACAUAAGAAUGUAGGGGCAAGAAAAGGCAAUCUUAUCUAUAUAUUUCAGUCUGGAAUGUUUUCCCUUAGAGAUACAUUUAAUGCCCAAUUUAUCCUUGGAUCUUGCAACUUAUAUCUCUUCUCUUUCAAUUUGGCUUCUGAUGGGCUAAAAUGCUAUUUUCUUAGUUUUCUUUCCAGGGCUCUGUUUUUGUUUUUUGUGGGUUUUUUUUUUUUUUAAGUGUAAAACUCCUCAAAAUCUUAAAGUCAGUGUGUGACUUUAAGAAUCAAAAUGUGACUUUCCAAUCAAAAUGGAGUCACUCAUGUUAAAAAAAACACUGACAGAAAGAACCAGGCAAAAUCUUAAUGUUUUUUUAAAAUUAAGGAAGAUAAUUAAUGGUAUGUUUUAGUAUUUGGGAAGAG